rnacentral:rRNA from 1 species
GACGAACGCUGGCGGCGUGCUUAACACAUGCAAGUCGAACGGAAAGGCCCUGCUUUUGUGGGGUGCUCGAGUGGCGAACGGGUGAGUAACACGUGAGUAACCUGCCCUUGACUUUGGGAUAACUUCAGGAAACUGGGGCUAAUACCGGAUAGGAGCUCCUGCUGCAUGGUGGGGGUUGGAAAGUUUCGGCGGUUGGGGAUGGACUCGCGGCUUAUCAGCUUGUUGGUGGGGUAGUGGCUUACCAAGGCUUUGACGGGUAGUCGGCCUGAGAGGGUGACCGGCCACAUUGGGACUGAGAUACGGCCCAGACUCCUACGGGAGGCAGCAGUGGGGAAUAUUGCACAAUGGGCGGAAGCCUGAUGCAGCAACGCCGCGUGCGGGAUGACGGCCUUCGGGUUGUAAACCGCUUUCGCCUGUGACGAAGCGUGAGUGACGGUAAUGGGUAAAGAAGCACCGGCUAACUACGUGC